GACGAACGCUGGCGGCGUGCUUAACACAUGCAAGUCGAACGGAAAGGCCCCUUCGGGGGUACUCGAGUGGCGAACAGGUGAGUAACACGUGAGUAACCUGCCCUUGACUUCGGGAUAACUUCAGGAAACUGGGGCUAAUACCGGAUAGGAAUCCUUGCUGCAUGGUGGGGGUUGGAAAGCUUCGGCGGUUUUGGAUGGACUCGCGGCUUAUCAGCUUGUUGGUGGGGUAGUGGCUUACCAAGGCUUUGACGGGUAGCCGGCCUGAGAGGGCGACCGGCCACAUUGGGACUGAGAUACGGCCCAGACUCCUACGGGAGGCAGCAGUGGGGAAGAUUGCACAAGGAGCGGAAGCCUGAUGCAGCAAGGCCGCGUGCGGGAUGACGGCCUUCGGGUUGUAAACCGCUUUCAGCAGGGGCGAAGCUUGUGGUGACGGUACCUGCAGAAGAAGCACCGGCUAACUACGUG
rnacentral:rRNA from 1 species